CUUCUGCCAAGGGCCCGCUUUGAUCUCCCUUAAAGGACAGCAUUAUCUGACCAGAAAUAAUGUGUGAUUAUUUGAUGAAUGCCUGUCUCUCCCACUGGGACCAUCAGCUUAGAAAAGAAAUGAUGUGGAUGUGCUCACCAAGUUAUUUGCAGAGCUUAGCAGAGUGGGAUAGAAGAGACCCAUGCAGGAGACCUCUCCAGGUACACAUAUUUCCUGCUACUGAAUGGCUUAGACUGGGAUUUGCAAGGAACUACGAAGUCCAAGACCUUUGCCUUUCUUUUAGAAGAAGGCACCAGCUGGUUCUCCAAUGUUGAAGGUCUUCUCCAGAGAUGCAGAAGGAGUGAAAAAACAAGAAGGAAGACAAGGAAGACAUUGUUUUGGCUGCUGACAUUUCCUGAAAGAUCUGAGGCGUCCCCUUCACUUCGGGCAUGGGACCCAGACGGCUGAGUGAUGGACCUUAAGGUGUGGGGAGAUUACAACUUGCUCAAGGUCUCAUAGCUAGAAGAUGUCAGAGUGAUAACUCAAACCAUGUCACAUGACUCUAAGCCCAAAGCAGCCUCUAGAAGGUUGUUUGAUCUUCUGAUGGAAGCACAAAUCACCAUUCCAACAUGAAAGAUGGAGAAACUUAAGUCUAGAGAGAUUUAAAGGACUUGUCAAAGGCAAUGAAACAAGUGGAACUCUGAAAGCCACAUGUUGAGAUGGCCCCAUUACAGGAUGGAGAGCACCUGAACCCCCAAGUUAUGGACUAGAAGAAGACAGUUGCCCUGGAAAAUCAUCUGACCCACAUUGGACUUUAUGUGAGGGGGAAAUAAACCUUUAUUAUGUUAAGC
rnacentral:lncRNA from 1 species